rnacentral:rRNA from 1 species
CGAAGCAACGCGAAGAACCUUACCAGGUCUUGACAUCCCUCUGACCGUCCUAGAGAUAGGAUUUUCCUUCGGGACAGAGGAGACAGGUGGUGCAUGGUUGUCGUCAGCUCGUGUCGUGAGAUGUUGGGUUAAGUCCCGCAACGAGCGCAACCCCUAUUGUUAGUUGCCAUCAUUAAGUUGGGCACUCUAGCGAGACUGCCGGUAAUAAACCGGAGGAAGGUGGGGAUGACGUCAAAUCAUCAUGCCCCUUAUGACCUGGGCUACACACGUGCUACAAUGGUUGGUACAACGAGUCGCAAGCCGGUGACGGCAAGCUAAUCUCUUAAAGCCAAUCUCAGUUCGGAUUGUAGGCUGCAACUCGCCUACAUGAAGUCGGAAUCGCUAGUAAUCGCGGAUCAGCACGCCGCGGUGAAUACGUUCCCGGGCCUUGUACACACCGCCCGUCACACCACGAGAGUUUGUAACACCCGAAGUCGGUGAGGUAACCUUUUAGGAGCCAGCCGCCUAAGGUGGGAUAGAUGAUUGGGGUGAAGUCGUAACAAGGUAGCCGUAUCGGAAGGUGCGGCUGGAUCACCUCCUUUCUAAGGA